rnacentral:rRNA from 1 species
UACGUAGGGUGCGAGCGUUAAUCGGAAUUACUGGGCGUAAAGCGUGCGCAGGCGGUUUUGUAAGCCAGAUGUGAAAUCCCCGGGCUCAACCCGGGAACUGCGUCCGAUACUGGAAGGCUCGAAUCUGGGAGAGGGAUGUGGAAUUCCAGGUGUAGCGGUGAAAUGCGUAGAUAUCUGGAGGAACACCGGUGGCGAAGGCGACAUCCUGGACCGGUAUUGACGCUGAGGCGCGAAAGCCAGGGGAGCAAAGCGGGG